rnacentral:rRNA from 1 species
UACGGAGGGUGCGAGCGUUAAUCGGAAUUACUGGGCGUAAAGCGCGCGUAGGCGGUUCGGUCAGUCUGAUGUGAAAGCCCUGGGCUUAACCUGGGAACGGCAUUGGAUACUGCUGGACUGGAGUGUGGGAGAGGGGUGUGGAAUUUCCGGUGUAGCAGUGAAAUGCGUAGAGAUCGGAAGGAACACCAGUGGCGAAGGCGGCACCCUGGACCAACACUGACGCUGAGGUGCGAAAGCGUGGGGAGCAAAC